UUUAAGUACAAUCAUAAAUUUCCGUGUCUAAUUUUAAUCGUCCGUCUUAUUUAAUUUUUUUUAUAAUUAGCAUUUUUAUUGUUAUGAGAUGAUAAAACAUAAAUAGUACUUCAUGCUUGACUUAUGUUUUUAAAUUCUUUUAAUAAGACAAACGAUCUAAAUUAGACACGGAAAAUUAUGACUGCACUUACA
rfam:Oryza glaberrima chromosome 5 Oglab05_0012_26, whole genome shotgun sequence.